AUUGAACGCUAGCGGGAUGCUUUACACAUGCAAGUCGAACGAGUGGCGGACGGGUGAGUAAUAUAUCGGAACGUGCCCAGUAGCGGGGGAUAACUACUCGAAAGAGUGGCUAAUACCGCCUACCAUCGGAUGUGCCCAGAUGGGAUUAGCUAGUAGGUGGGGUAAAGGCUCACCUAGGCGACGAUCCCUAGCUGGCCUGAGAGGAUGACCAGACACACUGGAACUGAGACACGGCCCAGACUCCUACGGGAGGCAGCAGUGGGGAAUAUUGCACAAUGGGCGCAAGCCUGAUGCAGCAAUGCCGCGUGUAUGAAGAAGGCCUUCGGGUUGUAAAGUACUUUCGGCGGAGAAGCGUUACCCAACGAGAAAGCACCGGCUAACUCCGUGCCAGCAGCCGCGGUAAUUC
rnacentral:rRNA from 1 species